AAUUCCUUCUGUAAGUACUGAGUUGGGUUUCCUGGUCAACUACAUUGCCGGAAGGAUCCUGAAUAAGUGGGCGAUAGUCACCAAGAAAGAACUGAUCGUACUUGGCAUCCUGUUGGGAUUCUCCCUGCCCCGUGCUUAAUAUAUAUAGCUGUCCAACAUCAUCUGAAAGUAUAAUUGAUGUCCCAUCUGAUGAAAACUUCCCAUCAACCAGUUUGAAAUGAGAAAUUUCAUAUAUCCGAAUUGGUGUGCCUUCCCAA
rnacentral:misc_RNA from 1 species